rnacentral:rRNA from 1 species
GAUGAACGCUGGUGGCGUGCCUAAUACAUGCAAGUCGAGCGAACGGACGAGAAGCUUGCUUUUCUGAUGUUAGCGGCGGACGGGUGAGUAACACGUGGAUAACCUACCUAUAAGACUGGGAUAACUUCGGGAAACCGGAGCUAAUACCGGAUAAUAUUUUGAACCGCAUGGUUCAAAAGUGAAAGACGGUCUUGCUGUCACUUAUAGAUGGAUCCGCGCUGCAUUAGCUAGUUGGUAAGGUAACGGCUUACCAAGGCAACGAUGCAUAGCCGACCUGAGAGGGUGAUCGGCCACACGGGAACUGAGACACGGUCAAGACUCCUACGGGAGGCAGCAGUAGGGAAUCUGCCGCAAUGGGCGAAAGCCUGACGGAGCAACGCCGCGUGAGUGAUGAAGGUCUUCGGAUCGUAAAACUCUGUUAUUAGGGAAGAACAUAUGUGUAAGUAACUGUGCACAUCUUGACGGUACCUAAUCAGAAAGCCACGGCUAACUACGUG